rnacentral:lncRNA from 1 species
CGUGUAACAACUAAAAAGUGUCCGUGUAUUAUCUAAAAAGUGUCCGUGUAACACCCGUUAAUGUAUUGUUUUUCUAUAGCUCUGCUGGGGGUAAAGUCGUACAAAUUUAUAUGCUACGUCAUGAUUGAUAAUACCAUAACAUAACAUAGGUCAAGGUCACUGUAAUGAUAAAUCAAACUCACCCGUACAGCAAAUACACAAAAGCUCUCAAAACAAUCAAAUCAUAUAAUCAUCUCUCAAACGUAAAUCUCACACUCACUUGGACAUUGGGGAAAC